UUCACUCGGGCAAGACAGUAGGGGGCACAGUUGAAGACUGGGGGAGAUGAGCGCCUCUCUGUAAACCUGCAUAAAAUAGACAGUAAUAAAAUUCUCAUGGAAAAGUCACAGGGUUCGGCUGAGAACGCCUCAAGGGAAAAUGCAUUCACUCAAAAUCUGACCCUUGGUAUUAAUCUGUCUUUAUAGAACUCAGACCUUCAUCUAAUCACUUAACUUCUCCAAGUCCCCGUUCGCUAGAAAUAACACCAGCGCCAGCCAUUCCAAUGGAGAUGGAGGUCUGAGCGAGUGGAGGGUAAAGCAUGAUUUCUAAACUCAAAAGCAUUCACACGUGUGAGGCGUCACGACUAUUAUCAAUUUCUUCAUUGCAGUUCCUUUCUAGAGGACAGUUCCUUCGCAUCUGAAGACAAGCUGAGCCUGAAACUCUUCCCCCUUUGCAGGUAGCGGCGGCCUCCCAUAUGCUCCUUCGUCAGAGGAAUGAAAGGAGAGGAAAAGAGGAGACCUUCUGCAGGGAAUGGUGCAGCGGAAAGCUUUGUCUUUGGCCUGGAGAGUUCACCAGGAUCACAUGGUAAAGAAGGGUCUCAAAGGAGAAGAACGGCCCAGUAAAGCCCUGGUAGCCAACCGUGUCGCCCCCACCGGCCUGCACCUGCACCUUCCCGUCACCCCAUGGGCCUUCUGCAGGGGUGCAGAGCAGACCCCAAACUGCGUGUCUCCCCAGGAAGAGGCCUCCGCAGGUUUUCCAGGAGCCCAGGUGAGGGAAGCUACAUGGCUCUAGAAGGACUGGAGGCCUCUCCUGCUGAGACCCAGCGUAGGACCAGGAAGAGCUGCAGGUGCCUGUGAGGACGGGGAGACGUCGCGCUCUUGUCGGGAGGAGAAGGGCCUCCAGGCCAGGGGCUCUGACUUUGUCCUGAUGCUCUUCCUCAUCUCCUGGGAUCCUGACCCAGAGGAGAGUUGAGAGGAGAAAAGGGAGGUCGAUUCAGAGCUCCCCUCUCCCCUGUCUGCAGCCUGUUGUGUCCUCAUCACCCUGGUUCAGGACGCCCUCUGCGAGCAGCCCUUUCUGAGUAGACUCUCCAUCCAGGGGCUCCUGCAGCACAGCCUCCUUAUCCCCACCUAUCACGUCAUGCUGUGACUUUUGGCUAUUUAUCCUUCUCUUCUGAGAAACUCUAUGUGCCUCGAGGGCGAAACCAUGUCUUAUUCAUUUCCCUGCGACGGAGCACAGUGUCUGGCACACAGUGUGCGGUGAAUCAGUGAAUGGAGCAGGAAUUUUCAGAGUCCCACCCACACGGCAUCACCCCCCCCCCGCCGUGGGUUUGUCCAGCUCACCUUCUUCACGGGAGCCCUGCAGCUCGGUAGGAACUUCUGGGUGCAGGCUUGGUGGGGCGGCCUUGUUUCCCUGGGCAACCUGCUUUCUCUUUCAGAAAGCGUUUCUCAUUUGCAGUUCUGGGGCCUGCAACUUUUGCCAUAUGUCGGUUGUCUCUGUCUUCAUGAUCCCAGCCAUAUUAAUGUUAUAAUUAGAGCCAGUAUUUAUACAGACUUUCUUCUGAGCAGCUCCUCGUGCUUUGCAAGAGUGAUUUACUUUAUCGUCCCUGCAUUUC
ensembl:lncRNA